CAGUAGCCGCGGUAAUACGGAGGGGGCUAGCGUUGUUCGGAGUUACUGGGCGUAAAGCGCACGUCGGCGGCUUGGUAAGUUAGAGGUGAAAGCCUGGAGCUCAACUCCAGAAUUGCCUUUAAGACUGCCGAGCUAGCAGGUGAGAGAGGUAAGUGGAAUUCCGAGUGUAGAGGUGAAAUUCGUAGAUAUUCGGAAGAACACCAGUGGCGAAGGCGGCUUACUGGCUCAUUCUAGACGCUGAGGUGCGAAAGCGUGGGGAGCAAACAGGAUUAGAUACCCCCGUAGUCCCUGUCUCUUAUAC
rnacentral:rRNA from 1 species